AGUAGGGAUAUCUUUCUCUCUUUUUUUCCCCAAAUGAUGAUCAAUAGGAAUAGGUAGUUGUUGAUUAAAGAGAUGCUAUGAAUUGCACAAUAUUUAUUGUUCUUCUUCAUUUGCAGGGUAGCAAGUCUUUUCAGUGGCCAGAUGCUGCUGUUUCUGCUGUAACUGCACUUGAAAAGGCCUCAUAUGAUGGUUUUUCACCUGACAUGAAAUAUAACCAGCAGUUACGGCAGCUUGUGUUCAACCUGAAGAACAACUCAUUGCUAGCUUGACGUCUACUAAAUGGAGAAUUGGAACCUUCAACAAUUCUUAUCACGACACCUGCUGAGUUAAAGGAGGGUUUAACUGCUGAAGAGACGGCCAAAAAAGAGCCUGAUGAAUUUGUGCACAUGCAGAUGACUGAUGCCCGGUGCUCAAGAUGCAGUGAAUUUAAAGUCUGUCUAAGGGACAUUAUCCAAGCUGGACAUGGAGACCGCUAUCAGGUUAUCUCAUAUUUUCUUCUCUGAUUCCGUCACUAUUACUAAGAAUCAGUUUGGAUUGCUAUUACAGUAAUCAAAUUGAGUUAGUACAUCUUUGUUUGUGUUUCACUCUAGAGUCUAGAUAGUCAUGUAAAUGCACACAUUUCUAACUUGUUU